rnacentral:rRNA from 1 species
UACAGAGGUCCCAAGCGUUGUUCGGAUUCACUGGGCGUAAAGGGUGCGUAGGCGGUCGGGUAAGUCUGAUGUGAAAUCUCACAGCUUAACUGUGAAACUGCAUUGGAUACUAUCCGGCUCGAGGAAUGGAGGGGAGACUGGAAUACUUGGUGUAGCAGUGAAAUGCGUAGAUAUCACUUGGAACGCCAAAGGUGAAAACAGGCGACUGGGGUUGAGCUGACGCUGAGACACGAAAGCCAGGGGAGCGAACGGG